rnacentral:rRNA from 1 species
AGUGAACGCUGGCGGUAGGCCUAACACAUGCAAGUCGAACGGCAGCACAGUAAGAGCUUGCUCUUACGGGUGGCGAGUGGCGGACGGGUGAGGAAUACAUCGGAAUCUACUUUUUCGUGGGGGAUAACGUAGGGAAACUUACGCUAAUACCGCAUACGACCUACGGGUGAAAGCAGGGGAUCUUCGGACCUUGCGCGAUUGAAUGAGCCGAUGUCGGAUUAGCUAGUUGGCGGGGUAAAGGCCCACCAAGGCGACGAUCCGUAGCUGGUCUGAGAGGAUGAUCAGCCACACUGGAACUGAGACACGGUCCAGACUCCUACAGGAGGCAGCAGUGGGGAAUAUUGGACAACGGGCGCAAGCCUGAUCCAGCCAUACCGCGUGGGUGAAGAAGGCCUUCGGGUUGUAAAGCCCUUUUGUUGGGAAAGAAAAGCAGCAGGUUAAUACCCCGCUGUUCUGACGGUACCCAAAGAAUAAGCACAGGCUAACUUCGUG